rnacentral:rRNA from 1 species
UACGAAGGGGGCUAGCGUUGCUCGGAAUCACUGGGCGUAAAGGGCGCGUAGGCGGCCUGCUAAGUCGAACGUGAAAUCCCUGGGCUCGAACCCAGGAACUGCGUCCGAUACUGGGUUGGCUUGAAUCCGGGAGAGGGAUGUGGAAUUCCAGGUGUAGCGGUGAAAUGCGUAGAUAUCUGGAGGAACACCGGUGGCGAAGGCGA